rnacentral:lncRNA from 1 species
AGCUGCUUUAUCUACAGUUCAGUCGGGAGAUCCGGUGCAGAGCUGGCGGUUGGAAGGAGAGGGGAAAGGAAGAGGGUUGGGAGGCUGCUUCCAGGGACCUCGGGCAGAGCCCUUUGCAGAUGGCCACCUGGCUCACAGGCUGGAGAGGACGGUGAUAAUUGGGGCUCCCUCCUUGUCUGCCUUGAUGCCUUGGGGACCCACUAAAUGAGGAGGGAAACCACAUCUUCCCUUGUGGCAUCAUAUAUCUUUCAGGCCCAAGGAUUUGGUGGAAGUUCAAUGCUGUGCUGGGCUUUGUCUUCUGAAGCCACUGCCCGAGGAAAUCACUUCUGCUGCUAGUCCAAAGGGGAAGCCAGACCGAAGGUCAUCGUAUUCCUCGCUGCUUACUGCUGCCCAAUUCCCUGCAGAAACAUGCGUCCUUCUGCCACUAGGGCAGGCCUCUCUUGACUUCCGGGAAUGAUUUGUGUCUGUCUGGCUCAUCAUGGCAUCACCAGUGCCAAGCACAGAGCCGGGCCCGCAGCGGGCACCCAUUAAACACAUGUGACAUGAUUGGGUGUGCUGUGCUGCAUUACGAGUUUGUGUUACAGAGACUAAAGGAAGGAAAGAAAGGGGGAAAAGGAAGAAAGAAAGGAAGAAAUGAAACGAUUCUCCCGUGGUGUGGGGAUGAGAGCAGCAGGUGAACCAGGGCAGUCUGAGGAG